AUACUCUUUGUCAAAUGGCCCUGCUACAUCCAGCUGCAGUGGCAAAGAGCCAUCUUCUGUAAGCGGCUCAAAGUACUCCCUGCUAUUAAUCAGUUCACCCAGGCCCUGGUCAGGCAAACAGCCACUCACACUGCUUAAGCUUGCCCACAAGUACAGGCCAGAGACAAAGUAAGAGAAGAAGCAAAGGCUACUGGCCCGUGCUGAGAAGAAAGCUGCUGGCAAAGGAGAUGUCCCAACUAAGCGACCACCUGUCCUCUGAGCAGGAGUCAAUAUAGUCACCACCUUGGUGGUGAACAAGAAGGCUCAGCUGAUGGUGAUGGCCCAUGAUGUAGACCCCACUGAGCUGGUGGGUUUCCUGCUCAGGUUAACUUGGAAGACAAGGAUGCUCUGGCUAAGCUGGCGGAAGCUA
rnacentral:lncRNA from 1 species